rnacentral:rRNA from 1 species
UACGGAGGGGGCUAGCGUUAUUCGGAAUUACUGGGCGUAAAGCGCACGUAGGCGGACUGGAAAGUCAGAGGUGAAAGCCCAGGGCUCAACCCUGGAACUGCCUUUGAAACUCCCAGUCUUGAGGUCGAGAGAGGUAAGUGGAAUUCCGAGUGUAGAGGUGAAAUUCGUAGAUAUUCGGAGGAACACCAGUGGCGAAGGCGGCUUACUGGCUCGAUACUGACGCUGAGGUGCGAAAGCGUGGGGAGCAAACAGG